UUAUCAUACUAGCAUAUCAAUACCGGAAAGCUGACUUUCAUCGAUCAAAAAUAUUUUUUAUGAGUUAUUAAAGAUUAAAUGGGUAUAAUCCUGCAUGCGGUUGUAGUUCUGUGACUGCUAUUAAAGUAUUCUCAGUUUUGGCGUUAUUCAAUAUAUUCUCUAGAUCAUAUCAGUAGUCAAACCUACCGAUUGGAUCUUUCCAUGUCUUGAUUUGGACAAUGGUUGUUUUAUUUCGUUGGACACUUAAAUUCGUGGAUAAAGUCAUCCACGAAAACCACGAAAAUUGGUACCCCACGAAUAAAAGUACUUUCACAGUACAUUUAUAACCA
rnacentral:lncRNA from 1 species